GAGAGAGAGAGAGAGAGAGAGAGAGAGAGAGGGAGGGAAGGGAAGAUUAAAAAAAAGGAUCCUUCAUCAAACCCGAAUGCAGUAGGGUCGGAGGAAUAAAUAAAAGAAAAGGAAGUGAGUGGUGGAAGCAUCUACGGGACGGAGUGAAGGAGAAAGGAGGAAAGAAAAAGUGAGAGAGCAGGGGGUAGAUAACCGAAGGAGAAUGAAAAAGAAACAUAAAAGUAUCGAGAGAGAGAGAGAGAGAGAGAGAGAGUGAGAGAGAGGGAGGGAUAGGAGCAAUGGCAGAGUGAGAGAGAGAGGGGAAGGUAUUAGAGUGACGACCUUGUGAAGAACCUUGCAAGGCCGAGAAGACUGUUAGCUACCUUUGGAUUGAAGCCGCCAGCGUCUCGGGCUGCUGCACCAAUGGCUGUACCGGAUCUCAUUCGAGAUGCGAUACGGAGAAAGUUCAUCACGUAUUAUUUUCCGUCAAUUCGCUUGAUACGUCACGUGUACGAUAUAUCUGGGAUAUCGGAUGGACGUACGUAAAAAAAAAAACGGCCGUUUUUUGUUGAAAUGCAGAAAAGUGCACGGAGACUAAGUGCAGGGUGCAGCGGUGAAUUUAUACGCGUGAAUUGCAGGAGGGAAUGAAGAUGGUGGCUGUGGAGCUGUGUAAAAAAAAUCUCGAUAGCUGAAUUUACUGGCAGGAGAGCCGUGCGUACCGGUUCCUUUUUGUCGGAGUAACGUUUAUCGGCGUCUUCUACGUGGGCAGAGUCGGGCUGCAUAAAUUGCACUGACUAAAGUCUCCCCGAUCGCUCGAUAAGAGAGGAGGACGAGCAAACGAAUAAAUCGUCCCGGCUUCUAGCGGCGUUGAGCGGCGCGACGCUUCGAGCGCUAGAUCGGUAUCCAAUGCAGUCUGGAAUUCUCGAAAGGUCUCAAGAAGAGAAGAGGAGAGGAGAGGGAGGACUGAAGAGGAAUCAAAGAAAAUAGUGAAGGGAGAAAAAAUUAAGUUUUGCUUCUCUUUAGAAUCGCACCCUGUAUAUGUAUAAGACCGUAUCGGCAAUCCUGAUCGGCGUCGUUUUGUUAUCGCACGGUGACGUAGACAAGGCCGUUGGACGUCCUCUGACAAUAAUCCCGGCUGAUUAAACCGAUCGGUACCCUGUUCAGACAGAAAAAAUAUAUAUAUUUGUGAAAUUCAAUAGCAUUCGAGCUGCUCCUUAUUGGAUGCUGGAUGCGUCUUUGACUGCCCGGAUGCUUCAGCAGAGGAGAAGACAAGUCUCGGGAGCAUGGGAGAACAGAAGUAAGAGAACGUCCUUGCAAGGCCACAACGACGACGUCGGACUACGGUGCUGUAGGAAUGGGCGGCAACGCCCGAGAGAGAGAGAGAGAGAGAGAGAGAGGGAGUGAGGUAGCGAGUCUCUCCUCUGCUCAGCAAUCCUCUCUCACUCCCUCCCUAGCACCAUAGCAACGUAGCUGAGCAGCCUAGCAUCUCGCGUGAUCCUAGAGGCCUGUCAUCUCAGCAAUACCCUAUCCGGAUAUUGACAGAGAAUACCACAUUCCAAGCAUGGAAGAGCGAAAGAAUUGAAUUGGCAGAUAAGCGCGACAAUUGAAAGAGCGUUCAGUUUUUCAUAGAAUUGUCUAUCAGAUUAUUAAAAAAAAAUAAUAAUUAAGAGAAUCUUAAUAAGAGUUAUUGGAUAAAUUAAAAUAUUAUAAUAAAUUACAAGAUAAAAAUUAUCUUGAUUUACUGUCAAAAUCAGCCGCAUUCAGACGGCUGUAAAUGUGCAACGUGAACAUAACUAUAUUUACACCGUAGAAAAGAUCUGUAUGAUAUUGCUCAAUGAAAUGGCGGUAAGAAAAGUGGCAAAGAAAAAUUGUAGCCGAGCCCGGAUAAGUGGGUGCAAUAAAUGCACAACGCAAUGCAAUGCAGUAAACGGCAAACGGCCCACUUGGUAAAGUCCUAUCUCUGUGCAAGUCGCCAUUUCGAUUUUGCACGUGUGGGCAGCCGGGCUCAAUCAACCAAGCUGCCUUUCCUUGCAUUUAAUGCAUUUCUCGACUCACUUGCAAGUUACCUGUACGUCCUGCUACGUCCUGCUACUACCUGCUCUGUCUUGCCCUGUCUUGCCCUGUCUACCGUGUUUAUCAUGUCUGCCUUAGUAUGCCUUAUAGCUGCCUACAUCCCGCUACUUCACGCUAUUCAAAUCCUACCCGUGUUAUAAAUAGACAAACUGGUAUUUAACGCGAAGGAUUAAUAUUUCAUGGGUUUGCCAAGAAUCGAGCUGCACCCUGACUCCUUCGUGCACCUUUGUCAGAGAGUGGAUUUCCUUGCGGCGUCCUUAUGUCAUUUUUCACGUACGGCUGCGUCUUUUUAUUUGAAAGAAAAAAAAAAAAA